AUAAAAAUUAGCAUAAUCACAUAACAAUACAGGAGCAUUUGGUCAGAAACUGCGCAACGUCUUCACAGAGUAGGAACUAUUUAUCAGAGAAACCAGAGUUAGAAGCCCAUCUAAUCAGGGCAUUAAUAGACUGGUGUUAUCCAUCUGGCUUCAUCAUUAACAUAUGAAGGAGGACAGUGAAAAAGUGAGUUGUCAAAUGCUUUCUUCAUGCCUUCUUCAUGGAGAUUGAACAAGGUAAAAUAAAAUGAAAAAUAGUUCCUUUUGACCUCCUUCAGCCACAAGUGAG